UUGAGAGUCCAAGAUGAACAGCCACAGGGGUAGAGGGAUGGCCACUUGUGGAGAGAAGUGACCCCACCCACGGUCCUGUCCCCACAUCUCAGGCCCCAUGCACCCCCUUGUCAUCCAAGGCACAGGAAGGAGGACCAGGACGGGAGAGGUCAAGAAGAUGCCCAAGGUCGUGCAGCUCGAAGUCGGGGGCCCUGGGAAUUGAGCCUGUUCCCAGGCCGUUCCCAGGGUGGCUGCAGCUGGGCACGAUAUUUGCUUCCUGCUCAUGCGCUCAGUCGCUGCUCCCUCCUGGCCACGGGAGAUGCAAGUCGACUCCAAAGAUUCAACCUCUCACAGUGGAGAACCCGGCCCUUCCAGAACCUGGGUCUCCUCGCUGGGCCAUGGGGCAGUGCGGCAAAGGGACUGCCAGGAAGCGACCAUGCCACACCCCGGCCCCUUGAUCUUGGAUUUCCAGAAUGGUGGAGAAAAGCUCCCCGUCUUUCUAUGGCCUGAGUUACUUUGUUGCAGUGGUGCUAAGUGGAUGAAGACCAGGUUCCUGCGGCUUCCAGGUGGACCUGGAUGCGGACCAGCAGUGAGGGCAGGGCUGAGCAGUGCGUCCGUCGCUCCCGGUGCAUGGACAACUUGGUGUUGGAGAGACAGUGCACUGUGGGUGGAAGCCAGUUACCAGACGAAGAGGAGGCGCUCUCCUUAGCAGUGCCCUGGCACCUGGGCGUGGAGAAGCACAUGCAAGCCCAGCAGAGGACUUGGAGUGGAACUUGGUGGUCAGUGCCUGGGCUUUGGGUCUAGUGCCUGGGCUUGGGCGUGUUUCAUGGUCAGUCUUCCUUCAGUCUUCGUGAGAGGCUGAGAUGCUCUGGUCCACAAGUCUAGAGGGCUCUGGGCCUGUCUGCAUCCUUUCCUGCUGCAUCCAGCACAGAGUUCGGAAUGUGACUGAUACUCAGAUCAUAUUUCUCCUGUGGAGCCUGUUCUCACCCACAGCCUUAGCUCUUCUUAAUACAGUCACAGAAUUUCCUCAUUUAACCUCACACCACUGUCAGCCAUUCGCUAUUUUUAAAAUCACCUGCAGAAAUUGCAAUAUUUGGAAUUGGAAUUUUUGGAGACUUGUCUAAUGGCCACUUGUACAUUCCUCUUGAAACAGGUGGAGGAAUUCCUUUAUUGGCUGGGCAUGAAGGAAUCAGCUAGGAUGGAAUGUUCUAGAAGGUUCUAGAGCUGUCGUUCAAUUUGAUGAACCCAGGGACACCGUGAGACAAGGGGGAUCUGUGUCAUCUGGUCUAAUAGGAAAAGCAGUGUGUGCAGACGGCCUGGCACAGCUGGCGUGGGCAGCACAGGUGGACAGUAGAGGCAGUCCCGACGCUGGUCACAACAAGAAGUUAGGCUACCCCCGAGACAGCAGUCUCAGAAAACAGUCAGGCUUUGAGAGCAGCUGGUGGGUGGUGGCUGUCUCUAGAGCAUCGGAAAGAUGCAGGGUUAGGUCUCUAGACUUAAGGAUGAGCACCUCUUUGAAGCAAAGCUCCAGCUUGAGAGGAGAAAGGGCCAGCUGAGAAUUCACCUUUAGGCACAAAACAAAAACCCAGUUACUACGGGUGGAACACAAGACCGUCUGUGGGUGUGGACCUGAACUGAGCCCGGUUGGGGUUACCAGAGUUGCGGAUGUCUGAGUGUCCUCCUGCAGGGGCACCAAGGCAUGGAGACAGAGGCAGAGGAAGGCUGGCAUGGUCGGGUCACUCCAGGCUCAUCUCUCUGGACACACCAUGAGUUACCAUCCCUGCCCAUGCGGAGACAGACAGGAGCUCAGCUGGAGAAGGGCUGCCCGCCAUCCUUGUAGGUCAGUCCUUCCGGGAGACAGGGCUGAUGAGCAGCUGCACAGAUUGCCGCCUGGUGUUCCUGCACGCUGGGUACCCGUCGCCCAUGUACCCGUGGACUGCUGCUGCAGUGAUACCAUCUACUCUCUCCUCUACACACUGUCCCCUUGGCCAUGGAGGCUCAGCACACUCCUCGGCUCUUCCACUCGGUGCUCAGGAGAACCCUGACAUCUCCAGCACCAUCUGGGAUGUAUGGAUGGGAAGACAGGCUUCAGAAGAUUGAGUGAUUUCCAUCAGGUGCCAGGGUGAAGAAGUGGACCAGGUCUUCUUUCCACUGUGAUACCCAGGCUCCGUGCAUAGGAGGAAAGAGAAGUAAAAAAUUACUUCUUGUCAGAGGACUGAGUGACAUCUCAAAAGGCCCUGAGAUACGUGGGGUCCACUGCCUCAUGGAUCAGGGGCAGUGUCUAAGCAGGGUCUGGACGGAGACAGAGAAGGCCCUCUGUGGCCAUAAAUGGUAUAAAUAGAUGGGGAAAUGCACGACUGAAUAAAUGCA